rnacentral:rRNA from 1 species
AUGAACGCUGGCGGCGUGCCUAAUCCAUGCAAGUCGAGCGAACAGAUGAGGAGCUUGCUCCUCUGACGUUAGCGGCGGACGGGUGAGUAACACGUGGAUAACCUACCUAUAAGACUGGGAUAACUUCGGGAAACCGGAGCUAAUACCGGAUAAUAUAUUGAACCGCAUGGUUCCAUAGUGAAAGACGGUUUUGCUGUCACUUAUAGAUGGAUCCGCGCCGCAUUAGCUAGUUGGUAAGGUAACGGCUUACCAAGGCAACGAUGCGUAGCCGACCUGAGAGGGUGAUCGGCCACACUGGAACUGAGACACGGUCCAGACUCCUACGGGAGGCAGCAGUAGGGAAUCUUCCGCAAUGGGCGAAAGCCUGACGGAGCAACGCCGCGUGAGUGAUGAAGGUCUUCGGAUCGUAAAACUCUGUUAUUAGGGAAGAACAAAUGUGUAAGUAACUAUGCACGUCUUGACGGUACCUAAUCAGAAAGCCACGGCUAACUACGUG